GGAAAGGCGCGCGAUACAGGGUGACAGCCCCGUACACAAAAAUGCACAUGCUGUGAGCUCGAUGAGUAGGGCGGGACACGUGGUAUCCUGUCUGAAUAUGGGGGGACCAUCCUCCAAGGCUAAAUACUCCUGACUGACCGAUAGUGAACCAGUACCGUGAGGGAAAGGCGAAAAGAACCCCGGCGAGGGGAGUGAAAAAGAACCUGAAACCGUGUACGUACAAGCAGUGGGAGCACGCUUAGGCGUGUGACUGCGUACCUUUUGUAUAAUGGGUCAGCGACUUAUAUUCUGUAGCAAGGUUAACCGAAUAGGGGAGCCGAAGGGAAACCGAGUCUUAACUGGGCGUUAAGUUGCAGGGUAUAGACCCGAAACCCGGUGAUCUAGCCAUGGGCAGGUUGAAGGUUGGGUAACACUAACUGGAGGACCGAACCGACUAAUGUUGAAAAAUUAGCGGAUGACUUGUGGCUGGGGGUGAAAGGCCAAUCAAACCGGGAGAUAGCUGGUUCUCCCCGAAAGCUAUUUAGGUAGCGCCUCGUGAAUUCAUCUCCGGGGGUAGAGCACUGUUUCGGCAAGGGGGUCAUCCCGACUUACCAACCCGAUGCAAACUGCGAAUACCGGAGAAUGUUAUCACGGGAGACACACGGCGGGUGCUAACGUCCGUCGUGAAGAGGGAAACAACCCAGACCGCCAGCUAAGGUCCCAAAGUCAUGGUUAAGUGGGAAACGAUGUGGGAAGGCCCAGACAGCCAGGAUGUUGGCUUAGAAGCAGCCAUCAUUUAAAGAAAGCGUAAUAGCUCACUGGUCGAGUCGGCCUGCGCGGAAGAUGUAACGGGGCUAAAC
rnacentral:rRNA from 1 species